UUGAAUGCCUACAUUAGCUCUAGUGUAGACAUACCCUGAGAGUGAUGCAGGGGAGGGCGGCCAAACAUUUUUUUUGCUUGGGGCAGCACAACCCUAGAGUCCUGGCCUGCACACAGCACCCAUCAGCGCCUCUAAGUUGUCAAAGGGGUUUAUCACUUUUGGGGUCUUUACUGGCCAAAGAGGGGUUUGGGCCCAGGCGACAUUCCUCCCUGCUAGACUCCCUGCUCUCUUGUACGGCUCCUGGUUGAGUUAGGGAUGUGCACUAUUGUUGUUCGAUUAUCAUUUGAAUUCUCCCAUUUUCCCAAUUAUUGUAAUUUAAUCCCUUAAUACAGUUGUGAAACUUACCUGCAGUGUCCUUCAUCACACUGGGAUGGUGCCCAGAGUAAUUAUUCCCUCCCGGUAACAGACACAGGGAAAGGGGGCUUGCAUCCUCUGAACCAGGGGCUACCCUGAUACUGGGGUCACCUUCUAGCUUCCUGUUUUUCCUAGUUACCUUUGUCACCUGGGUAACAGGGGGAUAUGAUAGAGGUCUCUGACGGGGAUGGCUGACACGUGAACAACACCAUCUCCCAGAUCAGUAGCCUCGUUGUGAUCUGGAGAAAGAUCUGCUUUCCUGUUUGUUUCUUGUUCAGAAAAGCCGCUUCUCAGAAAAUGAGGUGGCAUUAGAGCUUCCCCACGUUAGAUGCCCAUUAAGAACCCCAGCCCAUUGAAAUCUCUGACCAGUAUGUCAGCAACCAGCCACUCGGUGUGGGCUCAUCUUAAGUUUUCCUGAAAAAAGGAUUAAGAGGGUUAAUUGUGACCAGAGCCAUAACCCUUGUUAAUAUUAGCAAGACGGAAGGAUCAGUGGCCAGGAUAGGGAAACAAUAGCCAUGUUACCAAAAAUUACUGAGCUGAGGUAAAUUUGUGCAUUUUGGCGGUGCCAGACAAAGUUCACACUAAAGCACUUAAGAAACUAGGCAAAGCAACCUCUGAACCAUUGGUGACAAUCUUCCAGCUCUCAUGGAGAAAGAGAGAGUUUCCUAACAAGGCCAGACAUGGUGCCUCUCUUCAAAAAAGAGCAAAACUGGGGAAUGAUGAAGCAACCAAUUUAUUAAACCUUUGAGGAUGAUAAGGUGAUAAGCAACAGCCAACAUGGAUUUUUUGAGAGCAAAUCAUACCAAAGCGAGGCAAUUUCCUUCAUAGGCACCCAGCCUAGUGGGUGGGGCCCAAAAGCAGUACAAUUUCAAAAGUAUUUUCUGAUUCUAACUAAGGAAACGUGCUAGUUUCCUCUUGUCCACAUGGAGGUUGCAAGGCUGGUCGGGGAGGUAUGGAGACUCACUGGCUCAGUAGCAGAACUGCAGAAAAGGUUUCUUUUGGGGUUGUGGAGUCCCUGUCAGUGCAGGCUUUAAGAACAGGUUGGGCACACACUUGCCAGGGAUGUUCUAGGUCCGCUUGGUCCUGCCUCAGCACCUGGAGGUGGAUCGUUCGAGCUCCUUAGGUCCCUCGCAACUCUCCAUUUCUGAUUCAGUGAAAUGAGGCUGGGCCAUCUGCACUGUGCUCAGUUUUCCCCAUUGGGUCUCACUGCAAAGUAACGGAGUAUGGGUCUGGCAGAUGAGGGAGGCAGCAGGAGGGAGGGCAGGGCAGGCUGGACAGUGUUUUGCUGUGUCCAUACUUUAGGUUGAUAUGAUCUGAAACAAGGGCUUGAGUCACUUUCGCUUCCUGCCUAAUUUCUCCAAAAUAAGGAAGCUGCAAAGCUCAGAGCCCUCAGAGCUCAACUGCUCCUGAGAGUGUCGGAGCCACCAUGGGACCCCGCGGGGACGUGCGUCCAUUGGUGUUUCUCAUCGUGGUCCUUGUCCCCCCUCUGCCUCCAGGGAGCACUCAAGGCUCAAUGGGUAAGUUCCCAGGCUGGGGGAACAGAAUGCAAAUCCGCAGGGGACG